GGUGUUAUGAGUAGAAGAGGAGACCCCACACCUCGGUGAGAAUCACAUGACAAGGCAUUUGGAAUGUACCAUGGCUGGACGGAAGAGAGUCCUCUCCUUUGUGGCGUUACAGUCAUCCUGGUGGUCUUCCUCGAAAUUACUUUUGAGAUUUCACAGAGGUGAAGAGGCUUUCCCAGACCUUCGGACCGCCUACGCUGCACACCCUCCCAGCCUCUGUGGAAGCACCUUUCACGUCACCUCUCGGCCCUCCGACAUCUGGACCCGAGCCACGCUGAUGUCUGGUUUGCUGCGUGUCUACCCCACCACACACACACAUCACUCUGUAGGCACACAGCCACUGUUGUUCAGUAGUGCAGAAUCAGAGCCUGGGACAGAGGAGGGGUCAUUAACUAUUCUAAACACACGUAUAAAUUGCUCCAGCGAAGAGUCUGGAAAAU